UACGUAGGGGGGCAAGCGUUGUCCGGAAUUAUUGGGCGUAAAGAGCUCGUAGGCGGUCUGUCACGUCGGCUGUGAAAACCCGAGGCUCAACCUCGGGCCUGCAGUCGAUACGGGCAAACUAGAGUACUGCAGGGGAGACUGGAAUUCCUGGUGUAGCGGUGAAAUGCGCAGAUAUCAGGAGGAACACCGGUGGCGAAGGCGGGUCUCUGGGCAGUAACUGACGCUGAGGAGCGAAAGCGUGGGGAGCGAACAGG
rnacentral:rRNA from 1 species